CUUGUCCUGCGAUGUACGUUAGGCCCUUUCGAUUUUUUAACCGAUGACUGUUUCGAGGGAGACAGAACUCUGUGCGGUAUGUCAGGCCCACCUCCGCUUGCGGACGCAUGGGAAGGCAGAGCCCACAGACGGGUCACCCACCUGCUAGGUGCGGGUUAAGAAACAUGGGGCGGACGGCAGAGCGGGGUAUUU
rnacentral:other from 1 species